rnacentral:rRNA from 1 species
UACGUAGGGUGCGAGCGUUGUCCGGAAUUACUGGGCGUAAAGAGCUCGUAGGUGGUUUGUCGCGUUGUUCGUGAAAUCUCACGGCUUAACUGUGAGCGUGCGGGCGAUACGGGCAGACUAGAGUACUGCAGGGGAGACUGGAAUUCCUGGUGUAGCGGUGGAAUGCGCAGAUAUCAGGAGGAACACCGGUGGCGAAGGCGGGUCUCUGGGCAGUAACUGACGCUGAGGAGCGAAAGCGUGGGGAGCGAACAGGAUUAGAUACCCUGGUAGUCCACGCCGUAAACGGUGGGUACUAGGUGUGGGUUUCCUUCCUUGGGAUCCGUGCCGUAGCUAACGCAUUAAGUACCCCGCCUGGGGAGUACGGCCGCGAGGCUAAAACUC